rnacentral:rRNA from 1 species
UACGUAGGGUGCAAGCGUUAAUCGGAAUUACUGGGCGUAAAGCGUGCGCAGGCGGUUGUGCAAGACAGGUGUGAAAUCCCCGGGCUUAACCUGGGAACUGCAUUUGUGACUGCACGGCUAGAGUGUGUCAGAGGGGGGUAGAAUUCCACGUGUAGCAGUGAAAUGCGUAGAUAUGUGGAGGAAUACCGAUGGCGAAGGCAGCCCCCUGGGAUAACACUGACGCUCAUGCACGAAAGCGUGGGGAGCAAAAGGG